GGCCAUGGAGCGCUACGUGCUGCUCUUCGGCUGGGGGGCUGCGGCGGGCGGCGCCGAGCACGGAGCCGGCGCUGGAGCAGCUGUUGCAAGUGUUUAUAAGCUCCUGAAAGAAAAAUGUAAUUCAUCUAUAAAAACAAAUACAGUGACUUUUCCAGCAUGUUCAGUGGCUGGUAUUCCAGGCAUAAAGAAAUGGUACUUUGCGAGUCACAUUAUAUGUGGCUAUUAUCAGUUCUGCAGUUCUGACUGGGAGGAAAUAAAUUCUGACAUGCAGAAAAAUGAAGACUGUCUCCAAACAACUAUUGAGAAGUGUCUGGGAAACAUACAGAACUUUGAGGAAGAUGACAGUAACAGUAGGGAGUCACUGUCUAUGGCUGAUGUUUAUGAUGAAGCUGCAGAAAGUCUGCAUCAGUUGGCUGACAGACUGCCUGCCCCAGGAAGAGCAAUGCUGGAUAUCAUACUACAAACUGUUGAAGGGGAUGCACCCAAGUUGAAAGACUGCUUACCUGUGAUUGGUGCCCUGAAACACCUGAGAGAAUGGCACUCUGCACAAAUCACCAUUGCAACAAGUGACUCUAAAGGCUGGCAAAAGAUUGCAGACUACCUAUCGGCAGACUUUGUCUCUUCAGAUGAUGUCAUGGAUGUUAUCGAUUUAAAAGAGCUCUGGAGGGGAAAGAUUCACAUAUGGGAAAGAAAGUUUGCAUCAGAAGUUAGCUUUCCAGAUUUUUGUAUGAAGAGCACUUCAGCAAAACCUCUCAGCACCUCACAUCUAAAUUCUUGCUUUGCUGACCAACGAUGUAUGAAUUCUGAUGCUUUGCCAGAGGUUUUUCAUUACUAUGGUCCUGCUUUAGAGUUUUUGCAGAUGGUUGACCUCUCUGAACUCCCCCCCUUUUUUAUAUCAGAUCUGGAAUUUGAGCUGAGCCUGGCAAGAAAGGGUAAAAAACAGAUGUCUGCACUGCUUUUAGAUCAGAUUUCUUCUCUCUCUGGGAAGGUGGGAGCUUUAGUUUCAUUAGCAUGCAGUGUAAGCAGUGUAGUGAUCCCAUCUCCUGCCCAGCUGAGUACAAAGAAAUGGAAGGAAUAUAUGGCUAGGAAACCUAAGGUCAUUACUGUUCCAGAAAUUGAUCUGAAAGGAGAAUCUUGCCGAUACUAUUUCUUGCUACAAGGCAACGGUUCAGGAGGAUGUAAAGCAACCUUGAUUCAUUCUGCUACCCAAAUCAAUGGAAUGGCCACUCUUGCUGCUGUAAAUAGAAUACUGAAGACAAAUGUAGGAGAAACAGAGUCAAGCUUUCCUACUGAUGACUUUAUUGAGUCUCUGCCGCGGUUCUGUGGAAAGCAAAUUGUACAGAGAGAAAAGAAACUGUCACAUCUCCAGGCAUCUGCUUUGAAGGAGUAUCUCAAGAGAAAGAAAGUGACUGAGCAGCCUCCAGUUAUUUCCACUGAUGAGCUCAAAAGCUUGUUAGAACUUACAAGAGAAUGCUUUUUGGACCUGUGGAACACUAAUGUUCCUGAACCUGUUCCACAGAAGACUGCCCAUAAAACUAGUUCACAUACAGUGGCUUCUGAAUCAGAUUUAAUGGAGCCAAAACCAUUGGAAUGGCCAGAAAGACAUGUUCUUCAGAAUUUGGAAAACUUUGAAAAAAUCAAACAAAAAAUGAGAGCUUCUAUGCUUGCACAUUCAUCUGAACAACUGCUUGGACAUAAAGAUAGCCAGCGAGAGUCACUGACAUCACUCGAUGCGAAGGAGUUACUAAAAUACUUCACACCAGAAGGGCUGCCAGUUGGUGAUCUUCAGCCACUGCAUAUUCCCAAACGUGAAAAUGCAUUCUUUUUGACACCUGAGCUUACUCCUCGGAAGCUAAGAGGUCUGCCUUUUGAAAAAGCAGCUGGAUGCCAUUAUCAUGGAAUUGAAUACUGUCUAGAUAACAGGAAAGCUUUAGAGAGAGACUUGGGAUAUGCUGAACUUCAAGCUCGUCUUAUUCGCUAUGAAACUCAGACCACGUGCACCAAGGAAUGCUGCCCUCUGCCGGUCGUCUUGAGCCCUCUGCCGGCUGUCCUGAGCCCCCUGCCGUCUCCUGCAGUCUCGUCGGAGCCUGGAAGCGUCCCCGAUGGAGAGUCUUUACAAAGUGAAUUCAGAACAGAGGUACUGAGGCUAAAACGCAGAUCAAAAGACUUGGAUUGCUUUCAUCCCAAGAAAAGGCUAACAAAAUCAGAGAGUACAGACUCUCUCCUCUCCCAGGCAAGUGGGGGAAGUGGGAGUCAUAAUGCUCUGGUGGUAACCAGGAAGCGCUCUGAAAGAUCAGUUUCUUUAAGUUCGAUGGCAUUGAAGCAGUCUGGUCAGUCCCACAAAGCAGCCAUGAGGGCUGGUUCAGCAAGCUGCAUAAGUGCAACAGAAUCUGAGACUUCAAAGCCAGUUAAGGAAUCGAGAUCUCAGAAACAUACAAGGAUGCUGAAGGAGGUGGUAGCCAAGACUCUACAAAAGCAUGGAAUUGCUGAGGAUCACAAGUGCUUUCCAUCAUGCAGCCAACGUCUAUUUGAGAUAUCAAAGUUUUACUUAAAGGACCUUAAAACUUCUAGAGGACUUCUUGAUGAAAUGAAAAAAACAGCAAGUAACAAUGCUAAGCAGGUGAUUGAAUGGGUUCUGGAGAAAACUGGCAAGUAGACCCUGCAGAGACACAGCACUUCUGACUGCAGGAAAAACAUUAUACUGAGUAACACCUGCAACUACCUACUCAAGCACCAGAAGAACUUGCUGCAAAUAUUUAAGUCACUAAGGAAAUAAGAAGCACGUUGAAAGCAGAUGAGAUCUGUGUGCCUCUGGGCUUAUAUCCACCUGGGUAAGCAGCUAACACUGACUCCAAUGCUGUAAGCUCUUUUCUAAGAGUUUCAAACCCUCCAUGUUUUCAGGAGUAGGGAUGGUGGUGUGACUGCUGUGUCCAAUACCUCCUCCUCAUACUUUUCCCUAUGUAUCUGCUCUUGGUCACUGCUGAAGCCAAAACACUGUACCACGACCUGACUGUGCAUGGCUGCUCCAACAGGCUGAGAAUAAACACUUUACAGAAUGUAUAUUAUCAAAGGAUAUAAAGAAUUGAGUAGCCAAUAUGCUCUGGAACCACUAGAAGAUUUGGCCAGAAAAAAAACAUAUUUGCAAAUAUAAUUUAUGGUAUCUAAACUGUUUGUAGGAAUAAACAUUUUUAGGUUAUGUGACAGCUAACUUUAAGAGUUAAGCAGACGGUUUGCACUACAUCUGUAAUCCCCAUUUUUUUCCCACAAUUAGAUUUUUAAGAGUGCCUAAACCACAGUUUGUCACAUUAGAUGAAGGACAUACGUGCAUGCUGAAAUUAUUAAUAACAUCACAUUCUUCAGCUCUUCUACCCACAAUCAUUUAAAAAGGGCAAUGGAUACAUAUAAACAUUCUAACAUCUGGCUAUACAGACAUACAAUAUUUUUGUAAAUAUAAGUAAUCAUUCAUCUCUCCUUGCAGUAUUCCACCCUUUUCUAUCUUUAGAUUGUCUCUUUCUAAAGCCACAUCAUCAUGCUGCACUGGAAACAUGGCAUCUACAUACUGCUAUUGGAACCACACCGGCCUGCUCCUGUUAGCGCUGUUCCACCUCCACAGCCUUAGGGACCACCAAAGAGAUGGAAACAUGCAUCCCGGCUGAAUGCACUACUUACAAUUUCUCCAUCUUUUCCUCCGAAGUCUAAAUAAAGCAUCCUUAUCCCAUCAUCUGAGGACAUUUUCAGUUUUUCAUAGGGGUACUGUGCAAUUGUCUUAGAGAAGGCACCGUCUUGUGGUUCAGUUGUAAGAGAGAAUCCAUGUUCGUAAUGGAUGGUCAAACGGCACUCCUGGCUUUUGUAUGUGCAAGCUGAACAAGGAAACAAAAUUCAGACCGUAGCACUCUUAAAAGUAACAAAUUCAAUUUGGCUGCACAAGUUUGCAUUUUACAUGUGAUGUCAACAGUAUCUUGUGGAAACUAAGCUGUUGUAGAAUUGGGUUAAUCAUGUUCUAAUCUUAGAUUUGGAUAAUCAACUGGAGUUGUUCUGCUGAGCGUGGCCCAGGCAAGUUUUGUAGCUGUCGUCUACUUCCAGGAUUACAAUUCUGCUUGGUAGUAACAUGGCUAAUGUCAGUUCUUAUGUUUACUCACUGCAUUUUUCCUGUAGCAGUGCACAUCUAUGUGCUGACCCAAAGCAGCUUUCUGAAGAUGGCUCGAGAUGGCAUUUCUUCCUCCCAAGCCCUGACAGUCACAGCUAUUCUUGUGUGACAGAGCCAAACUCAAUGAAUGCGUCGCACAGUGCAAAAUUAGAAGCUUGAAAGACUAUCCCUGCAGAAUUCUGACAAACACAAAGACACUCUGGAGUCCUCAUUAGUGUCACAGUAAUUGAAAAAGGGCCCAGAUAAUAGUAUAUAAUAGCAACUGCAGCAAAAGUCUGCAUCCUUCCCUCAGCUCUGAAACAUACCAUGAUCCAAAUUAAAAAGCUUUGGGUAUUUACAUCCCAAAUUCUCUUUCUCUCUCUCUUCCUGUGAACUCUUUUGAUAACUAAGGCUUUUUACAGGCUUUUAAGGCCCGAUGGCCUUAAAAGGUGGGUGGCAGCUCUGCUGGUGGUAUUGGGGUUGGAAAACCCCCAUGAACAUGUGUUUUGAUGUCCCUUCCAACCCAAGUCAUUCUAUGAUUCUGUGACAUGACUUAUAAAUCCUUGGGGAACUCAAUGAAAAGGUGUAGCCUAAAAGGCCCAGAGCCAUUCUGGUCUGGCAGCAGACAGACCACAAGGGGCAUUAUUCCAGAGUGUCUGCAGCUAACUAACUUUUAUUUGUUAAUUUUGCAAGUAGAGAAAUGCAGAAACAUGACAUGCUCAGGGAAGAAAAUGACCAGUCACCACAAACUGGCUAUUGAUUUGGAUUGUAUUUCUUUUCACUCAUUUCAAGUGUGCAGAGCUGGGUGAAUAAAUAACCAGUUCAUGCCUGUGAAUCUGCCUGUCCUCCUCUGCCUCUUCCCUUUGCAGGAAAAACUUCUGACAGGCUCUCAGAAGUCUCC